UUUAUAUGAAAAUCGUAACAACAGUAAAAUAAAUCUGUGUGAGAAAUUUACAAGGCAGGUCAAAGCUAAAAAAGCAGGCUUGGAUGACAGAAGACAUAUUGGAUUUGAUGGAAC
rnacentral:lncRNA from 1 species